rnacentral:rRNA from 1 species
UAGCAUAAAGUAUUAAAGGUAACGCCUGCCCAGUGAUAAUUAAACGGCCGCGGGAUCCUCACCGUGCAAAGGUAGCAUAAUCACUUGUCACCUAAAUAGUGACUAGUAUGAACGGCCAAAUGAAGAUUUUACUGUCUCUUGUAACCAGCCUAUGAAACUAAUCUCUCAGUACAAAAACUGAUAUACUAACAUAAGACGAAAAGACCCUGUGGAACUUAAAACAACACCCAUUUAAAUGAUUACUUGUUUUUAGUUGGGGCAACUUUGGAACAAACUAAACCUCCAAUGAUAAUACAAGACUUACACGUCGACAUAUUACACGACCCAGUACAACUGAUCAAAGAACCAAGCUACCCCAGGGAUAACAGCGCCAUCCCCUCUUAGAGCCCCAAUCGAAGAGCGGGGUUUACGACCUCGAUGUUGGAUCAGGGCCCCCAAACAGUGCAACAGCUGUUAACGGUUUGUUUGUUCAACAACUAACGCCCUACGUGAUCUGAGUUAAGACCGGAGCAAUCCAGGUCG